AGCUUUGCGCAGUGGCAGUAUCGUAGCCAAUAAGGUUUAUCCGAGGCGCGAUUAUUGCUAAAAGAAUUUGCAUAUAGUGGUUUUUUUAAUAAUUACUUUAUGUCCGGGAAUCUAUUAGUUCAUUCUAUAGA
rnacentral:snRNA from 1 species